AAGCGACUAAGCGUACACGGUGGAUGCCCUGGCAGUCAGAGGCGAUGAAGGACGUGCUAAUCUGCGAUAAGCGUCGGUAAGGUGAUAUGAACCGUUAUAACCGGCGAUUUCCGAAUGGGGAAACCCAGUGUGUUUCGACACACUAUCAUUAACUGAAUCCAUAGGUUAAUGAGGCGAACCGGGGGAACUGAAACAUCUAAGUACCCCGAGGAAAAGAAAUCAACCGAGAUUCCCCCAGUAGCGGCGAGCGAACGGGGAGGAGCCCAGAGCCUGAAUCAGUGUGUGUGUUAGUGGAAGCGUCUGGAAAGGCGCGCGAUACAGGGUGACAGCCCCGUACACAAAAAUGCACAUACUGUGAGCUCGAUGAGUAGGGCGGGACACGUGGUAUCCUGUCUGAAUAUGGGGGGACCAUCCUCCAAGGCUAAAUACUCCUGACUGACCGAUAGUGAACCAGUACCGUGAGGGAAAGGCGAAAAGAACCCCGGCGAGGGGAGUGAAAAAGAACCUGAAACCGUGUACGUACAAGCAGUGGGAGCCUCUUUUAUGGGGUGACUGCGUACCUUUUGUAUAAUGGGUCAGCGACUUAUAUUCUGUAGCAAGGUUAACCGAAUAGGGGAGCCGAAGGGAAACCGAGUCUUAACUGGGCGUUAAGUUGCAGGGUAUAGACCCGAAACCCGGUGAUCUAGCCAUGGGCAGGUUGAAGGUUGGGUAACACUAACUGGAGGACCGAACCGACUAAUGUUGAAAAAUUAGCGGAUGACUUGUGGCUGGGGGUGAAAGGCCAAUCAAACCGGGAGAUAGCUGGUUCUCCCCGAAAGCUAUUUAGGUAGCGCCUCGUGAAUUCAUCUCCGGGGGUAGAGCACUGUUUCGGCAAGGGGGUCAUCCCGACUUACCAACCCGAUGCAAACUGCGAAUACCGGAGAAUGUUAUCACGGGAGACACACGGCGGGUGCUAACGUCCGUCGUGAAGAGGGAAACAACCCAGACCGCCAGCUAAGGUCCCAAAGUCAUGGUUAAGUGGGAAACGAUGUGGGAAGGCCCAGACAGCCAGGAUGUUGGCUUAGAAGCAGCCAUCAUUUAAAGAAAGCGUAAUAGCUCACUGGUCGAGUCGGCCUGCGCGGAAGAUGUAACGGGGCUAAACCAUGCACCGAAGCUGCGGCAGCGACGCUUAUGCGUUGUUGGGUAGGGGAGCGUUCUGUAAGCCUGCGAAGGUGUGCUGUGAGGCAUGCUGGAGGUAUCAGAAGUGCGAAUGCUGACAUAAGUAACGAUAAAGCGGGUGAAAAGCCCGCUCGCCGGAAGACCAAGGGUUCCUGUCCAACGUUAAUCGGGGCAGGGUGAGUCGACCCCUAAGGCGAGGCCGAAAGGCGUAGUCGAUGGGAAACAGGUUAAUAUUCCUGUACUUGGUGUUACUGCGAAGGGGGGACGGAGAAGGCUAUGUUGGCCGGGCGACGGUUGUCCCGGUUUAAGCGUGUAGGCUGGUUUUCCAGGCAAAUCCGGAAAAUCAAGGCUGAGGCGUGAUGACGAGGCACUACGGUGCUGAAGCAACAAAUGCCCUGCUUCCAGGAAAAGCCUCUAAGCAUCAGGUAACAUCAAAUCGUACCCCAAACCGACACAGGUGGUCAGGUAGAGAAUACCAAGGCGCUUGAGAGAACUCGGGUGAAGGAACUAGGCAAAAUGGUGCCGUAACUUCGGGAGAAGGCACGCUGAUAUGUAGGUGAAGCGACUUGCUCGUGGAGCUGAAAUCAGUCGAAGAUACCAGCUGGCUGCAACUGUUUAUUAAAAACACAGCACUGUGCAAACACGAAAGUGGACGUAUACGGUGUGACGCCUGCCCGGUGCCGGAAGGUUAAUUGAUGGGGUUAGCGGUAACGCGAAGCUCUUGAUCGAAGCCCCGGUAAACGGCGGCCGUAACUAUAACGGUCCUAAGGUAGCGAAAUUCCUUGUCGGGUAAGUUCCGACCUGCACGAAUGGCGUAAUGAUGGCCAGGCUGUCUCCACCCGAGACUCAGUGAAAUUGAACUCGCUGUGAAGAUGCAGUGUACCCGCGGCAAGACGGAAAGACCCCGUGAACCUUUACUAUAGCUUGACACUGAACAUUGAGCCUUGAUGUGUAGGAUAGGUGGGAGGCUUUGAAGUGUGG
rnacentral:rRNA from 1 species